AUGUGUGAUAGAAAUGUCUACCAGAGGGCUUCCAAGUGGAGGAACCAGCAGAGCAGAGGCUUGGCACCGAAACACUGUGUGUUAAUGCAAGACGGAAUACUGGGAAACCUACUAAAAGUCCGCUGGAAAUCUUUGCUUGAAAACGUCAUUAUUGAUUUCAUUUUGCAACCUGCUGGCCUUGCUCGACCUCUGAGCUCAUCAGGGUGCAAAACACGCUCCCCACACAGCCAAGCGGAGCCUCGGAGCCCCGGUGUGCACUUCACAUCCUUGCUGGAAUCUCUGGGGAGAACAGGCUUUCUGCUCAGCCCUUCCUGGAGCAUUGAGAAGUCCCGAAAGCCAGUUCCAGGGAGCAGCUGUGAAUUUGCUGGCAAUCAGCAGCUUCUGGCUGUGGCGUGCUAGCUGUCCUCAGAGAUCUUCACACCAAAAGAAAGACCUUCAAGAGUGGCACCAGGACAUCAGAAACGGGGCAUUUGGUGAGGAUCUUACCAAGCAACGGUCCUUGCCUUUUCCUUUCUUAUUGUAAACUCUUUCAAUAGUAAUAAUUUAAUCCCCUAGAUCUUCUUAGUAAUUGUUCCAAAUAGUUCCACUGUUUCUGGUAAAAUUUUGUUUAAAAAUUUGAUGUCAAUGUUACUAAAAUGUUGUCUUAGAAUUCAUGUUUAAUAAUCUUUAAAUAUCAUUGUCCAUAAAAUAGACCUUAUUUGUAUCAAGAAAUAAAUGACAUAGGACAUUUCAUUCACAUUAAAGUCAUAAUUUAGAAAAACUGAAUAUUUUGUUGGCCAAUUUGCUUUAAAAUGAUAUAUUGUCUCAUCAUUGGAAGACUGAAUGUAUGUUAACACACAAUACAACAAUUACACAUUACUAUGUCAAAUAUACAAGAAUGCCUUUUUUAUUCCUUGAUAUAGAGAAAUCUUGCAUGUUGCCCUUAAAAUAUCAGGAGCUUUAUUUUUAUAAUUUUUGCUUUUUUUGUUUCUCAAUGACAAACUAUGGGAGAAAGUUCAUACUGAUAUUUGUUAAAACUUUGCAACUAACACAUUGAGAGUAUAGUUUGACAUUUUAAAUUCCCAAUAAGUAAUAAGCCAUGUUGGAUACAUUUAAUCUUUUUCACAUUGAAUUUGGAAAUACUGGUGACAUGGUUGUGUGUGGAUCAAUGCAGAUAGCUUUAAGAGGAAUUUGCAGAUGUGACCAUUUGUAUGCUUCUUGUUAACUACUUUACAACAUCAGUGUCCUCUGUGCUUC
rnacentral:lncRNA from 1 species